GCCGGAGUGGCGGAACUGGAAGACGCGCGGGACUCAAAAUCCCGUGGCACCUGUGCCGUGUGGGUUCGAUCCCCACCUCCGGCACCA
rnacentral:tRNA from 1 species